rnacentral:rRNA from 1 species
UGGGGAAUAUUGCACAAUGGGGAAAGACCCUGAUGCAGCAACGCCGCGUGAAGGAAGACGGUUUUCGGAUUGUAAACUUCUGUUCUUAGUGAAGAAUAAUGACGGUAGCUAAGGAGCAAGCCACGGCUAACUACGUGCCAGCAGCCGCGGUAAUACGUAGGUGGCAAGCGUUGUCCGGAAUUACUGGGUGUAAAGGGAGCGCAGGCGGGAGACCAAGUCAGCUGUGAAAAGCUACGGGCUUAACCUGUAGACUGCAGUUGAAACUGGUUUUCUUGAGUGAAGUAGAGGUUGGCGGAAUUCCGAGUGUAGCGGUGAAAUGCGUAGAUAUUCGGAGGAACACCGGUGGCGAAGGCGGCCAACUGGGCUUUAACUGACGCUGAGGCUCGAAAGUGUGGGGAGCAAACAGGAUUAGAUACCC